UCAAUCCCACAUUUGUUAAAGGUCAAUGCACCAUAUGUUUUCUUAACCACAGAGUCAACCUGCGCAGCAGCUUUGAGUGUCCUAUGGACUCGGACCCCAAGAUCCCUCUGAUCCUCCACAUUGCCAAGAGUCUUACCAUUAAUACUAUAAAAUAAUACUAUUAAAGUGUGGAAAUUGUGAUAUUAAUUGAAAUUAAUAAACAGUUCUGACUUAUAUUCAGUUAUAAAAAGGAAUGAAAAUAUAUGGUGGCCAGCAUUUGGCCCAUAAUGACAGACGAGGAAGCUCUUAAAACUCUUUAACUCCACAAGUUUUAUUGUGAUAGACACAAAACAGACCGGGUACCAUGACCGGGAGAGUGAACCCAACCAGCCUCACACAGACUGGGGAGGUGACCAUCACACACCCCAAUUACAGUCAGGGUGACCCACAAAUACACAAGCAAAUAACUGUACAACCCAAGCUAAAAUCCCAUCAUAAUCCCACAAAAGCAUUUUAACACAAGCACAGUAAACAGUACUGAUCGUUAGAAAUGCAGGGGCGGGCUGUUGACCUCGCCCCCGCCCAAGGGGUCAGCUGCCCCCGGCAACCCCAGAGUCCCUAGCAAGGUCCAAAAGUUCCGGUGGGCGUGGACACUGCCACCUGUUUGUGUGAGGCAAAAGGCAGGGCACUCGGAGUGUCACUCCCUUCAUUCACCUCGCUGGGUUAGUGGUGGCCAGGGGCGAACACGGUGCCAGCCGGUCCCGGUGCAGCACGACUGUCUUCCGCCGCUCAGGUGAUGUUCUUCCAACUAUAGUCUAUCGUGGGUGCAUGUCAUAUCAAGUUAGAGAAUACAUCAGACCUCCCUUGUGCUGUUAUAAUUGUCAGAGAUUUGGACACGUUGCUGGUUCAUGUUGAGGGCUUGGGAAUAAUGGUCAAAUCGAGCUGGAUUCAGUCUGGUGCUUGGGUUCAGGAGAGUAACCAUCAGCCCACCUCCUACCCAUACUUACCUAGAUUAGACAAGUUGUCUCUCUACCUCAGGGAGG